rnacentral:lncRNA from 1 species
GUUUUCAGCAGACAGUUGGAAGUAAAGCUCAUGACACCAUUGCUUCUCCUACCUCAUCUGAGGGUAAUCAAUUGAUUUAAAUUAAUUAUAUAUUAUUUAAAUAAUUAUUAUAUUAUUUAAAUAAUAAAUUAAUUCAAUCCAGAUAAUUUUUUAAAUCCAUUUCCUAGCACAGUUCCGUGACUGGCUGUGCUGCCUGGAUGGAGGAGGAGCAAUGGGAAGAGGGGAUGGCCUUUUUCUCCCAGUGUCACCAGCGAUGCUGGGUUGAGUGACCCAGGCACCAGUGGUCUCCAGCCAGAGGGGGCCCCUGGGGACCUUUUUGGCAGUGGGAAGUGUUCUGCAGCUGAUCCAUGAAAUGACAAGUAGACAAACACAGACUCUUCCCAGGUGGAAAGAAGCUGAUGCUCUGAUUAUUUUCAUUCAGAAGUCUAUGAAGAGAUACAGCAGUGGAAAUACCAAAGACCUGGCUGUACAACAAUCAGUUUCAGUAAAAUCUUCUGUAUAAGAAGGGAUAAAGUACUGCAUCCAGGAUCAAGUAAAAUAGCAUUGCUAAAUAGGAGAGGGACAAAAUCACUAUGACUGAUAAUCUGCUGAAAUCUAGAAGAAUACACAAUAUCCUCUGGGCUUCUACUUCAAUGAAAAGAAAUGCAUUUGAGGGUUUGGGGUUUUCUGGCUGAUUUUUUUUUCUUUUUAAUUUAAAAAAAAUAUUUAAUUUUUUAAAAGCACUGUUAGUUAGCUUAAUCUGGUGGUUAUUCCCCUGCCCCUCCCACAGCCCCAUUUCUCCCAUUGCAAUAGAGAUUUUUUUAAAAUUAUUUUUUUUAAUGGGAUUUGGUUGAGUAAGUGCAAAUAACUUCAUUCCUUUUGUGUCUGACUCACUGAUGAACUGAGAUAUCUCCAAACAGUUAUUCCAGGAAAUAUUUCAGUUAAAAGAGGCUUUCUUUUUCUUGGCACAGUUCAUCACCAGAUCAAGUUUUUCAAGUCAUCUUGUCAUGUUGUCUCUAAUCCUACCAUGUAAGACUCCUGCGAGUUACUCUUCUGUAGCUCAGCAUCACCCCAAAAAGAGAUGUUUCCAAGCAGCUUUCUCGUUCAGAAAUGACAAAGUUUUCUAUCCUUACCCUCUGGCUGGAUAAUGUUGUUACGUCAAAAAUAUGCCUGAGAUUGCUUAGGGUCAGGUUUUACCUUGAAGUAUGACAGGAGCAUGGAACAGGAUCUUUCUGGGACGAGUAAUUUAUGCCAUGGUUUACUUUCUGCUGAGAGAACAGAAUAAAUUAGUCUAAUUUACAUUAGGAGAAUGUUUA